rnacentral:rRNA from 1 species
GAAACUGGCGCGUAGAAUGACGCAGCGACACCGCGUGGAGGAUGAAGUCUCUUGGGACGUAAACUCCUGUCAGCAGGGAAGAUAAUGACGGUACCUGCAGAGGAAGCAUCGGCUAACUACGUGCCAGCAGCCGCGGUAAGACGUAGGAUGCAAACGUUGUCCGGAUUUAUUGGGCGUAAAGAGUUCGUAGGCGGUUAUUUAAGUCUGACGUUAAAGACCGGGGCUCAACCCCGACAUGGCAUUGGAUACUGGAUAACUUGAGUUCGGUAGAGGUAACGGGAAUUCCUGGUGUAGCGGUGAAAUGCGUAGAUAUCAGGAGGAACACCUGUGGCGAAAGCGCGUUACUGGACCGAUACUGACGCUGAGGAACGAAAGCCUGGGUAGCGAAAGGGAUUAGAUACCCCUGUAGUCCAUAGCCCCUUGUGUGGCCACAGAGGUUUCCCCGAAGAAUGGCGGGCGGGAGAUGAUUCGUUUUUGUUUCGAUUACUCCCCUU